AGCAUGCCGCGUGAGGGAUGAAGGCCUCUGGGCUGUAAACCUCUUUUAUCAAGGAAGAAGAUCUGACGGUACUUGAUGAAUAAGCCACGGCUAAUUCCGUGCCAGCAGCCGCGGUAAUACGGGAGUGGCAAGCGUUAUCCGGAAUUAUUGGGCGUAAAGCGUCCGCAGGCGGUCUUUAACGUCUGUCGUCAAAGGCGUGGAGCUUAACUCCAUUUCUGCGAUGGAAACUGGAAGACUAGAGUGUGGUAGGGGCAGAGGGAAUUCCCGGUGUAGCGGUGAAAUGCGUAGAUAUCGGGAAGAACACCAGUGGCGAAGGCGCUCUGCUGGGCCAUAACUGACGCUCAUGGACGAAAGCCAGGGGAGCGAAAGGGAUUAGAUACCCCUGUAGUCCUGGCCGUAAACGAUGAACACUAGGUGUCGGGGGAAUCGACCCCCUCGGUGUCGUAGCCAACGCGUUAAGUGUUCCGCCUGGGGAGUACGCACGCAAGUGUGAAACUCAAAGGAAUUGACGGGGGCCCGCACAAGCGGUGGAGUAUGUGGUUUAAUUCGAUGCAACGCGAAGAACCUUACCAGGGUUUGACAUCCUGCGAAUCUCUUGGAAACGAGAGAGUGCCUUCGGGAACGCAGUGACAGGUGGUGCA
rnacentral:rRNA from 1 species